rnacentral:rRNA from 2 species
UGGGGAAUAUUGCACAAUGGGCGAAAGCCUGAUGCAGCAACGCCGCGUGAGUGAUGAAGGCCUUCGGGUUGUAAAGCUCUGUCUUUUGGGACGAUAAUGACGGUACCAAAGGAGGAAGCCACGGCUAACUACGUGCCAGCAGCCGCGGUAAUACGUAGGUGGCGAGCGUUGUCCGGAUUUACUGGGCGUAAAGGAUGCGUAGGCGGAUAUUUAAGUGAGAUGUGAAAUACCCGAGCUUAACUUGGGUGCUGCAUUUCAAACUGGAUAUCUAGAGUGCGGGAGAGGAGAAUGGAAUUCCUAGUGUAGCGGUGAAAUGCGUAGAGAUUAGGAAGAACACCAGUGGCGAAGGCGAUUCUCUGGACCGUAACUGACGCUGAGGCAUGAAAGCGUGGGUAGCAAACAGG